rnacentral:rRNA from 1 species
AUUGAACGCUGGCGGCAUGAUUUACACAUGCAAGUCGAACGGUAACACGCCGCAAUUUGCUGACGAGUGUCGAACGGGGGAGUAAUGCAUCGGAACGUGCCCAGUCGUGGGGGAUAACUACUCGAAAGAGUAGCUAAUACCUCAUACGAUCUAUGAUUGAAGACGGGGGACCGUAAGGCCUCGCGCGAUUGUUGCGGCCACUUUCAGAUUAGGUAGUUGGUGGGGUAAAGGCUCACCAAGGCAACGAUUUGUAACUGGUCUGAGAGUAAGACCCGCCACACUGGAACUGAGACACGGCCCAGACUCCUACGGGAGGCAGCAGUAGGGAAUUUUGCGCAAUGGGCGAAAGCUUGACGCAGCAACGCCGCGUGAAGGAUGAAGGCCUUCGGAUCGUAAACCGCUUUUAUUAGGAAAGAAAAAGUGUUGGUUAAACCCCGCGGGUCAUGACGGUACCGAAACAGAAAGCCACGGCUAACUACGUG